AAAUACUAAAGUUGUUGGAAGAAGAUC
rnacentral:sRNA from 1 species